GCCGAUGUAGCUCAGUGGUAGAGCGGCUGUUUUGUAAACAGCGGGUCGCGGGUUCGAGUCCUGUCGUCGGCU
rnacentral:tRNA from 1 species